CAUGCAGUCGAGCGGUAACAGGAGAAAGCUUGCUUUCUUGCUGACGAGCGGCGGACGGGUGAGUAAUGUAUGGGGAUCUGCCCGAUAGAGGGGGAUAACUACUGGAAACGGUGGCUAAUACCGCAUGACGUCUACGGACCAAAGCAGGGGCUCUUCGGACCUUGCGCUAUCGGAUGAACCCAUAUGGGAUUAGCUAGUAGGUGGGGUAAUGGCUCACCUAGGCGACGAUCUCUAGCUGGUCUGAGAGGAUGAUCAGCCACACUGGGACUGAGACACGGCCCAGACUCCUACGGGAGGCAGCAGUGGGGAAUAUUGCACAAUGGGCGCAAGCCUGAUGCAGCCAUGCCGCGUGUAUGAAGAAGGCCUUAGGGUUGUAAAGUACUUUCAGCGGGGAGGAAGGUGUUAAGAUUAAUACUCUUAGCAAUUGACGUUACCCGCAGAAGAAGCACCGGGUAACUCCGUGCCAGCAGCCGCGGUAAUACGGAGGGAGCAAGCGU
rnacentral:rRNA from 1 species